UCGGGUAUGGUGUAGCGGUAACAUCGUUGACUCUCACUUCUUCAGGAGUGACUGCUUUCUCAACAGCCCCGGGUUCGACUCCCGGUAUCCGAG
rnacentral:tRNA from 2 species